CUUUUCUAUCUGCAGGAAGACGACUUACUCUCUGUGUUCUGAUCACUAUAUAUUUAAUUAUAAUUUCUAAUUCCUCUAGGUUUUCUCCCUUCAACCCUGUGUUUGACAUCUUCUAUCCAUGAGCACAACUGUUUCCAGAGCAAGAAAUACUGACUAUGGGAGCACAAACUAUACUGGCAUGAAGAGAAUCGACACCUAACCCCAGAGCACAGACCCACACUCCUGUUCAAAGGCUGCCAAGUUCAGAUGCUGGGAGACUGUAUGAUGUCAAACUGUAAUCAGAGGAAGCCACCAACAAGCUGUGCUGCUGCAGUCAUGGGCUAAGAAUCCAUCGUAUUCCAUCUAUACCUCUGUCCACACUUACUGUCUGUAUUCCAGUCAAUAAACUGAUUUUUUUCUGGCCAUCUCCACUGUACAUUUUUAUUCUCAUUUUGUGGCAUAUUAUUAGAUCAUUUUCAGCAAUCUAUGGCUGAAUUUGUUCUUCAUGGGCAAAGAAUUUCUG
ensembl:lncRNA